rnacentral:rRNA from 1 species
AUUGAACGCUGGCGGCAGGCCUAACACAUGCAAGUCGAGCGGAUGAAGAGAGCUUGCUCUCUGAUUUAGCGGCGGACGGGUGAGUAAUGCCUAGGAAUCUGCCUGGUAGUGGGGGAUAACGUCCGGAAACGGGCGCUAAUACCGCAUACGUCCUACGGGAGAAAGCAGGGGACCUUCGGGCUUGCGCUAUCAGAUGAGCCUAGGUCGGAUUAGCUAGUUGGUGAGGUAAUGGCUCACCAAGGCUACGAUCCGUAACUGGUCUGAGAGGAUGAUCAGUCACACUGGAACUGAGACACGGUCCAGACUCCUACGGGAGGCAGCAGUGGGGAAUAUUGGACAAUGGGCGAAAGCCUGAUCCAGCCAUGCCGCGUGUGUGAAGAAGGUCUUCGGAUUGUGAAGCACUUUAAGUUGGGAGGAAGGGCAGUAAGUUAAUACCUUGCUGUUUUGACGUUACCGACAGAAUAAGCACCGGCUAACUUCGUGCCAGCAGCCGCGGUAAGAC